rnacentral:rRNA from 1 species
AACGAACGCUGGCGGCAGGCCUAACACAUGCAAGUCGAACGGGAUCUUCGGAUCUAGUGGCGGACGGGUGAGUAACGCGUGGGAACGUACCCUUUGGUUCGGAAUAGCCCUGGGAAACUGGGAGUAAUACCGGAUACGGUCGAGAGACGAAAGAUUUAUCGCCGAAGGAUCGGCCCGCGUUGGAUUAGGUAGUUGGUGGGGUAAUGGCCUACCAAGCCGACGAUCCAUAGCUGGUUUGAGAGGAUGAUCAGCCACACUGGGACUGAGACACGGACCAGACUCCUACGGGAGGCAGCAGUGGGGAAUCUGAGACAAUGGGGGAAACCCUGAUCUAGCCAUGCCGCGUGAGCGAUGAAGGCCUUAGGGUUGUAAAGCUCUUUCAGUGGGGAAGAUAAUGACGGUACCCACAGAAGAAGCCCCGGCUAACUCCGUGCCAGCAGCCGCGGUAACAC